GUGCCAGCAGCCGCGGUAAUACGUAGGAUCCGAGCGUUGUCCGGAAUUACUGGGUGUAAAGGGAGCGCAGGCGGGUCUAUAAGUCGACGGUGAAAUCUUCCAGCUCAACUGGAAAACUGCCGCCGAUACUGUAGAUCUUGAAUAUGUCAGAGGGAAACGGAAUUCAUGGUGUAGCGGUGAAAUGCGUAGAUAUCAUGAAGAACACCAGUCGCGAAGGCGGUUUCCUGGGACAUUAUUGACGCUCAUGCUCGAAAGUGUGGGGAGCAAACAGGAUUAGAUACCCCCGUAGUCC
rnacentral:rRNA from 1 species